CUAAUUUUGUUUCGUGUACUGUUGAUGAAUGAAAGUUAGGCGACCAUCGAGAGUUUGCGGCUAAAGUCUCUGUUUUUUUUUUGGGAAUCCUUCUGUGCUUUUUUGGAAAACACAUGAGGCGGCGAUAUCGAGGAUUUUGAACGUCUUACGUUCCAUUCAUUUUCGUUUAUUUAUCGCCGAUCUUCUUCUAUUUCUUCCCCUUUAUACUUCAAUUGCAUAGAAAAUAACGAUUGUGGCCAGAUCUAAAGUUCGGUUCUUUUUUCCCUCUAUCUAUAUCUUCUUCUAUUUCUUCCC